rnacentral:lncRNA from 1 species
AUGAUUAAUAGCUGUCAGUAUGGAUGUUUUGCAGGAUAUAAUAGUUGCUGGAACUGGGACAACGGCAACUGUGCUCACAUGGGCGAUGACAGCAUUAAUGCGCAACCCGGGAGUGAUGAAGAAAGUUCAAGAAGAAAUAAGAAGAGUAAUGGGAAAGAAAGGGAAGAUAGACGAAGAUGACAUUCAGAAUCUCCCUUACUUGAGAGCCGUUGUGAAGGAGACGAUGCGCUUAUACCCUCCUGGUCCACUUCUACUUCCCCGAGAAACGAUGGGAAGCUCUGUCAUCGGCGAAGAUGAAGCUCAUAUGUACAAGAUCAAGCCCAAAACCCUGGUGUUUGUAAGCAUGUGGGCAAUUGGAAGAGACCCGGAGGAUUGGAAAGAGCCCUUCGAGUUUAAACCCGAAAGGUUCUUGGAAAGGCUUGACAUCGAUUACAAAGGACAGCAUUUCGAGUACGUUCCAUUCGGUGCUGGGAGAAGACAAUGCCCUGGACUCAACCUGGGAGCGAGGAAUGUGGAGCUUGCACUUGCUAAUGUUCUUUACGCAUUCGACUGGGAGCUGCCUGAUGGGAUGACAAUCCUAGACGUCGACGAGGAGACUGUGAAUGGCUUAACUUUGCAGAGGAAAAAUGUUCUCUACAUUCGACCUAAAAUAUACGUCUGUCCAUGAUUCAUCUCGUAUCAAGAUUUCAUGUGCCAACUUAAUUUAUGAAAUAAUAGCUGUAAGAUGAUCCUGCAGCUUUUCUGUGUAAUAAGUGGAACUUAAUUAUCAAUAACAGAGCUUCCCCACUUGGAUGCUGAAUUAGGAAGUUCAAGCUAUUGUUUCUUGGCUAAUGUCAAUGAAUACAAUGCAUUAUUUAUAUCCAUUUCCCAAAAGGAAAUAUUAUAUCGAGAACCCAAAAGGAAAUAUUAUAUCGAGAACAAAUUUUCAUAUCCAGAGCUGAAAAAGUAUGAAAAGACGAAAUUAUUCCUUACAUUUUUUUUUUCUUUUUGUUGUAAUUGUGUAUGCACGAGGUCAGUUUUGUCUUUUCAUAUUUGUUUGCUCUCGAUAUAAAAACUUUGCUCUCGGUAUAGUAUUUCCCUUCCCGAAAUUAGUUAUUUUAUCAUUUUAUUCUCCUUGUUUAUCCAAUUCAAAUUUAAUACAAGUUUCAAUGUUACUACCUGUUAGGGUUAUACUAAAAUAUUCGUUUGAAGUAUAUAACAAUUAUUUGAGAAUCUUGAAUGCAUGUUUUCACAUUGUCUGUAUAUUAUAUAUUGUAGACAAUCUAGUAUCAAAUGGGAUAGCAGAAGAUUAGAUUGUCAGACUCCUUAUAUAAUAUAAUAAAGGUUCACAGUCGAGGUGGUGUUAGACAAACCACUGGAACGGCUGAAGUAUUAUUUGGAAAUAGUUUAUCUUGACUAUUGAAUAAUACUUAUAUACUUUGUGUAUAUUGAACGGGAUCAAAAUAGUAGAAUAAUUGUUUCUUUAAUUCUGACAAUAAAGAACUAAGAUUCUAUGAUGUUAUUAAUGCUUAAGUUCUUAAUCCGGAUAUAGUGAUUGACACUUGUAUUUAAUGCACAUGCCUUGACUCAUAAAUUAAGUAAUUUAUUUUAAAUUACGAAUUUAUGUAUUGGGCAAUGACAUUAUAUACAGAGUGGGAUAUUGACUAUAGAAGGAAACCGUGUCCGAAAAAUAUAUUCGGGUGAUGAUGUCCUCUUGAAAGCUCAUAAAGAUAAUUAUGCUUUAGUCCUGCAGGCAGAUUUGUUCUUGCAUAAUUAUAAGGUUGAGUGGAUGAUCAAGGAUAAAAGAUAUUGAUUAAAUUAAUUGUCAGAAAUUAAUUUAAUUAAUGGACAUGCGAUAUCUUAAACAUGGGGAAUUUAUAAGCAAUUAAUAUGGGAGCCGAAUUAAAUAAUUAAUUUACGGAAUUAGGAAAGGUAGUGCAAAUAUUAGUUCUUUAGUGGAUAGAAUUAAUAUUUAAUGACAUUGGGCCUGGCCCGGAAUGUCAUUGGAAGGCCUGACCUAAUGAUCCAUGAUCCCUGCUGUAGCCUAUAUAUAUUCUCGUUCUCCUAAAGCUGAAAGACACACCAAAACGAAUUAAUCCUAGAGUCAGAGAGAGGCAGACGUUUUUCUCAAGGAGACAGCUAGGGUUUUGGGUUUUCGGAGCUUUAAGGAGAGGCACACCUUGGGAGAUCGAAGGCCACACUUCGUCCAAGGAGAAUCAAGGAAUACAGUAGAAGACGUGGAUUUGAAUCGCUUGCGCCGUAGCGAUUAAGGUUAAUAUUCUGUUCGAACUUUUAAUUAGUAUCAUAAAACGCAGGACCAAGGUCCGAUUGUUCCUACAAUGGCAUCAGAGCCAGGUUGCGGUUCUGCGAUUUAUGAUAUGUAGUCCAUGUCAUGAUUAUAUAUGCAUGUAUAUAGUGAUUCUGUGAUGCAGGUCGUUGUCCACUAUUAUGGCCGUGUUUUAAUUAUUCUGUUAUGUUUGGAUUCCACGUGGUUUAUCGUGGCUGUUGUAAAUCACGAGGGUUGAUCGUGAUAGUUUAAUCUUGUAAUUCAAUUUGUAAUUGUUUUAGAUUAUGAUCUGAUGUAAUAGAAUAGGCUGGUUCGUCUGUACAAUUUGUAUGUAAUUGUUUGAUCAACGGGGCUGCAAGAAACAGAGAUCUUCCGCUGCUGCGAUCUGUUGCCGCUGCUAUUUAGGGUAACUUUUGCAUACGAUGUCCGAUUUGGGCGCAUAAUACCUUUUCGGGGACGGCAGAACUAGACGGACAGGCUCCAAAUUGACGUAGUCCAUUUGGUGCAGUUUUUCAGGGCGUUCUGAGGCUGUUUAGGCCUCCAAACGGGCUCUCGAAGAUUUUCGGAAUUUUUCGAAGGAUGAUUUCGAAGCUGUUUUUCCGGGGCCAUAAUAGUGGAUGUGUUUCAUUAUGUUUUACAUAAUUUCUGCCUUUUCUUGAUUAUUGCUACUAUGUGUUUCUUGUCUGUGUUGUUAUGCCAUGUGAUACUAACCCUUCGCAUGCUAGAAUGACAUGGACAUAGGGAUGUUUUUAAUUAAUGCUUUAAUCAUGCUAGUAUGCUGCCAUGUUAUGUGUUCUUUAUGUGUUCUUUAUGUUGCUAUAACCAUGAUAGUAUGCAUGUGGACUUCGAAGAAAUAACAUAGGGCGAUGCAUCUAGAUUAAAAUCCUCAAAGUAAAUUCUAAGUGGGAGAGGGAGUUAAUAUGGUAUUAAAUCCCAUGGUCUCCAUCAUUGUUUGUAUGUAAUUUAACAUAAAGGCGAAUAUAAAUUAUGUAUACGUCACCCAUCGUGGCAUGUAAUUUAUGGUGUCUAGAAUGUUAUAGAUAUUACUGGAACAAACUUCUUAAAUUAAUACGAAUAGAUACGAAUUUUCUUUAUCUCUGAUUUGGGGCGAUUUCUAAGGCUUAUGGGUAUUAAGUGAGACCGAUGUGACUCCUCCACUGCCUAGAAGUCAAACCAGACACGAAUAUUGAAUUGAAGUAUUCUAUUCGAGAAAUAUUGGAAGGUAUACAUGCCGCCCAUCGUGGCGUACCAAGUUCCAUAGGUUUCGGGUAAUUUAAGAUUUGAUGAUGGUAUACACUUAGCUAUGAAAAAUAAUAUAGACCACCCCAACGUGGCUUAUUGUUUAGUAAUAGGACCGAAGUAACGUUUAAACAAAUUUAGGUGGUAUACAUGUCACCCAUCGUGACGUACCAGAAACUUAUGGUGUUUAAACGUUAGUGCAUUUAAUUUUAAUAAUUGUUAGAGGAACCAAUAGGACUUAAUUUUUUAUGCACCCUUCUUUAUGUGUAAUGUGAUUUUUUCAUGCAUGAUUCUCAGGAUAUAAUGGGGUUUAAUCCACUGUUCACCAUACUUAAGGAUAACAAACUUACCGGACCUAACUAUAUUGAAUGGAAACGUAAUUUGGACAUUGUGUUGACUGCUGAGGAGUACAAGUUUUGCACUUAUGAACCCAAGCCUGAGCAGCCCGCUGCUGAUGCUCCUGAUGAGGAGAAAGAGUAUUAUAAGCGGUGGACAAAGGCUGAUGAGAUGUCGCGAUGUUACAUUCUGGCAGCAAUGUCGGGUGUUUUGCAGCAUCAGCAUCAGGCUAUGGCCACUGCUUCGGAUAUGCUCUUUAAUCUCAAGGAACUUUUUGGAGAUCAGAAUAGGGCUGCUAGGCAAGUAGCCAUGAAGGCUUUAAUGAACACUCAGAUGGCUGAAGGUACACCUGUAAGGGAUCAUGUUCUCAAGAUGAUGUCACAUCUGAAUGAGAUAGAGAUCCUUGGUGCAGAGCUUGACGGGGAAACCCAGAUUGACAUUAUCCUUAUGAGCUUGCCCAAGAGUUUUGAGCAGUUCCGCUUGAAUUACAACAUGAACAAGAGGCAGUAUAGUCUUGCGGAACUGCUGACAGAACUUCAGGCAGCUGAAGGAUUAUUUCGCCAGAGUGUUCAAGUGAAUGUGGCUGAGAAAGGUUCUUCCUCUAAGCCGAAAGGCAAUAAGAAGAAGAAAAAGGCUCAGACACAGAAAGCUGUGAAGGCAGUGGGAGUUCAAGGUGGUGUGAAAAAGCCUAAGGGGAAGUGCUACCGGUGCAAGCAGUCGGGUCACUGGAAAAAGGAUUGUCCUCUUCCUAAGAAGACAAACGAUACUGGUAUGUCUCUUUCUCUAGUUACAGAAACAUUUGUAGCGGCUAUAUCUACGAGCACUUGGUGUGUAGAUACUGGAGCCACUGAUCAUGUUUGUAACUCUAUGCAGGGGUUCCAGCAAUCCAGAAUGCUUAGAGAUGGUGAGAUCUACGUGUUCAUGGGAGAUGCUACGAAAGUAGCAGUAGUUGCAGUAGGAGUUAUUCAUUUAUCUUUUGGUUCUGAUAGGAUUUUGGUUUUGAACAAUUGUCUUUAUGUACCUUCUUUUAGAAGGAAUUUGAUUUCGGUUUCUAAACUUGCUAUGGAUGGUUAUAAUGUUUGUUUGGAUCGUAAUGUUUCUAUUAUGAUGAAUAAACGGAUUAUAUGUUCUGGUACAUUGCAAGACAAUUUGUAUAUAAUUAAUCCUAGUCAACCCGCACUGCAACUACAACAUAGGGUAUUGAACAACACAUCUUCUACCUCUAAUAAAAGAAAGGAACCUUCUAGUUUGAACCAAACAUAUCUUUGGCACUUGAGAUUAGGUCAUAUUAACUUGAGGAGGAUUCAAAGACUGGUAGUAGACGGGCCUUUAGGCUCAUUGGCAGUGGAGCCAUUUCCAGUUUGUGAAUCCUGCUUGGAAGGUAAAAUGACCAAUAGGCCUUUUAAGGCAAAGGGGAAUAGAGCCAAAGAAGUGUUAGGAUUGGUUCACUCUGAUUUAUGUGGACCUAUGAAUAUCCAAGCAAGAGGUGGUUAUGAGUAUUUCGUCACUUUUAUUGACGAUUAUUCUAGAUAUGGAUACGUUUAUUUGUUGCGCCGUAAGUCUGAGUGCUUUGAGAAAUUCAAAGAGUACAAAGCUAAAACGGAGAAGCGACAUAAUAAAAGUAUCAAGUCACUACGAUAUGAUCGUGGUGGCGAAUACUUGCUUGGGGAAUUCAGGGAAUAUUUAUCCGAGAAUGGGAUAGAAUCCCAGUUGACUGCACCAGGCACACCCCAGCAGAACGGUGUAGCAGAGAGAAGGAACCGGACUCUUUUAGAGAGUGUUAGAUCGAUGAUGAGUUAUUCGGAUUUACCCAAGUCCUUUUGGGGACAUGCCUUAGAGACAGCAGCUUAUCUUCUGAACUUAGUACCUUCUAAGUCGGUUCCUAAAACCCCUUUAGAAUUGUGGACCGGGGACAAACCGAGUCUGAGACACAUUCGGAUAUGGGGUUGUCCAGCACAUGUGCUGAACAAGAACGCGACUAAGCUAGAAUCUCGUACAGAAGUAAAGCUGUUUGUAGGCUACCCCAUGGGAACAAAAGGUUAUUUAUUUUAUAGUCCUAAGAACAAUGUUAAGAUGUUGUCUUCAAUAAGGUCAUGGUUGUUCAAACAAUUUGAAAUGAAGGACUUAGGUGAAGCAGCAUACAUCCUUGGGAUCAAACUUAUAAGGGAUCGCAAGAAAAGGAUGUUGGCUUUAUCUCAGGAGCCCUACAUAGAUGACGUAUUAGCUCGUUUUAACAUGCAGGACUCCAAGAAGGGUAAUUUACCCUUCAGACAUGGAGUUACUCUAUCAAAGAGGCAGUGUCCUUCGACACCUAAGGAGAUAGAGAACAUGAAGGCAGUUCCUUAUGCUUCGGCAUGUGGGAGCCUAAUGUAUGCAAUGUUAUGUACGAGGCCUGAUAUCUGUUUUGCCGUGGGCAUGGUUAGCAGAUACCAGUUGAACCCAGGACAAGAACAUUGGAGUGCUGUAAAAGCAAUACUCAAGUACCUGCGAAGGGCUAAGGAGUAUAUGCUGGUUUACAAGUCCUCUGAUUUAUUGCCUCCGGGAUAUACCGAUUCGGAUUUCCAGACGGAUAAGGAUAAGAGAAAGUCCACCUCGGGAUGUGUUUUUACUUUGGGAGGUGGAGCCGUAAUAUGGAGGAGUGUGAAGCAGAAAUGCAUCGCGGACUCAACCAUGGAAGCCGAAUAUGUGGCAGCCUCGGAGGCAGCCAAAGAGGCUAUAUGGUUCCGAAACUUCCUGCUGGAUUUGGGUGUGGUUCCUAAUUUGCCACAGCAAAUCACGAUUUAUUGUGAUAACACUGGUGCUGUGGCGAAUACCAAGGAACCGCGGGCCCAUAAGGCAGCGAAACACAUAGAGCAGAGGAGACUGUGAAUGGCUUAACUUUGCAGAGGAAAAAUGUUCUCUACAUUCGACCUAAAAUAUACGUCUGUCCAUGAUUCAUCUCGUAUCAAGAUUUCAUGUGCCAACUUAAUUUAUGAAAUAAUAGCUGUAAGAUGAUCCUGCAGCUUUUCUGUGUAAUAAGUGGAACUUAAUUAUCAAUAACAGAGCUUCCCCACUUGGAUGCUGAAUUAGGAAGUUCAAGCUAUUGUUUC